rnacentral:tRNA from 1 species
GUUAAUGUAGCUUAAUUACAAAGCAAAGCACUGAAAAUGCUUAGAUGGAUUCCUAUGAUCCCAUAAACA